rnacentral:rRNA from 1 species
AUGCAGGCUCUGAUGGAUGUUCGGUGCAAGAAUCUAGUGAACCCUGUAUGCGACUGGCUCGGUGAGAUUUACGAGCCCGCCUCCAGGGAAUUUGUGAUUCCGGGGCGUGGAAGACUGCCGUUAGACGAGGAAUCCGUGUUCUGCACGUUGGGUGUGCCCCGUGGAGAAAUCAAAGUCCCGUAUGAGGCCAAUAAUACGAUUGAGGAAACGUUGUUUGCCCGUUUGUUUCCUGGGAUGACAUCCAUGCCGAACACGACCGUGCUGGCAAAUUCGCUGGAGGGCAUGAAAACCCAUGGCGAAGUUUUUAAGAUGAAGCUACUCAUGUACCUGAUCUCAGCUGUUUUUGCGCCGACCACAUCUCUUCGCCCAAGCAACAAAUGCUUCCCCAUCCUGGCAAAACUGAAAGAAGUGAAGAACAUGAAUUGGUGUAAGUUCAUUGCGGACUUCCUGCAUGAUGCAUUCUCAAACAAGAUGUACCAGAAGGGUUGUCGACUCCAUUUAAUGCUCAUGUACAUCGAUCGUCUUGAUCUGUCCACUGUGGACUUUACUGGGAUAGGAGGCCCGCCGCCUCCACACAAGUUUGCUGUUUCUGCGUGGACUUAA